AAGUCGAGCGAGAACCGGGACUUCGGUCCCGGGGACAGCGGCGAACGGGUGAGUAACACGUGGGUAAUCUGCCCUCGAUUCUGGGAUAGCCCGGGGAAACCCGGAUUAAUACCGGAUAGCCUUCACGGUCUACGGGCCGGGAAGAAAAGGUAGCUUCGGCCUCCGAUCGAGGAUGAGCCCGCGGUGGAUUAGCUUGUUGGCGGGGUAACGGCCCACCAAGGCGACGAUCCAUAGCUGGUCUGAGAGGACGAUCAGCCACACUGGGACUGAGACACGGCCCAGACUCCUACGGAGGCAGCAGUGGGGAAUCUUGCGCAAUGGGCGAAAGCCUGACGCAGCGACGCCGCGUGGGGGAAGAAGGCCUUCGGGUUGUAAACCUCUUUCAGGAGGGACGAAGCCACUCGGGUGAACAGCCCAGAGGGUGACGGUACCUCCAGAAGAAGCCCCGGCUAACUACGUGCCAGCAGCCGCGGUAAUACGUAGGGGGCAAGCGUUGUCCGGAUUUAUUGGGCGUAAAGAGCGUGUAGGCGGCCAGGUAGGUGGGUUGUGAAAACUGGAGGCUCAACCUUCAGACGUCGACCCAAACCCCCUGGCUAGAGUCCGGAAGAGGAGAGUGGAAUUCCUGGUGUAGCGGUGAAAUGCGCAGAUACGAGGAAGAACACCCGUGGCGAAGGCGGCUCUCUGGGACGGUACUGACGCUGAGACGCGAAAGCGUGGGGAGCGAACAGGAUUAGAUACCCUGGUAGUCCACGCCGUAAACGAUGGGUGCUAGGUGUGGGAGGUGUCGACUCCUCCCGUGCCGAAGCUAACGCAUUAAGCACCCCGCCUGGGGAGUACGGCCGCAAGGCUAAAACUCAAAGGAAUUGACGGGGGCCCGCACAAGCAGCGGAGCAUGUGGUUUAAUUCGACGCAACGCGAAGAACCUUACCAAGGCUUGACAUGCAUUUGAAAAGCGUGGAAACACGUUCCCUC
rnacentral:rRNA from 1 species